UUAGACUAUGGUAAAAUUGGUUUCGUUAUAUGUCCUUUCAAGUGGCAGAGUCACGGUUUCCAAGAACUUACUGACGACAUCAAGUGAGGACUUACCGUACAAAGACAGCUUCCUCUUUUUCAUUACUGACCAGUACUGUAUUCUGGUGUAAGGACGCACUAGUUUAUUUCACCAGUCCCUUAUUAGUGGACAUUUGGGUUAUUUCUAGUCUUUUUUGCUAGUCCAAACAAUGCUAUGAUGAGUCACUAUGCACACACAUUUGUGCUGGCACAUCCUCAGCAUGAAUUGCAGAAGUAGAGCUGCUGAGGCGAAGGGUGCUUUUGCACACACUGCCAAGUGGCCCUCUGCUGAGUGGUAUCACUCUACACUCCACCAGCACAUGUGAGGGCCAGUUCCCACGGGAGCCAGGGUCUUUAAUCCUCACGUCACAGAUGGGGAAACGAAGCCUCUGAGUGAGACAAGUCCAGGACUGCCCAACUCCAGAGCCCAAGCUGUUUAUGAGCCAACUGGGGAAUAAGUGAUCAAACAGUUAAGCCACAAAGCAGAAGAGAGAGAAGACUGGUGGAGGGACAAAGAGAAGAGUGACAAAUCUUGCUGAGACAGAGAUCUUACGGAGCCACAUCCUCACCUUGUGGCUCAUUAAGAAACUGCACAUGAAGACGUUUACAGCAAUCAUGCCGAAGAAAACACUGGCCCAGGCUAUGAUAAACGCACAAGUUUUGGAUUCCUAGGACUCAACCCUGUCUGCAUCUGGCCGGUGGCCAUCUGUAACACUGCAUGAAGGUAAAAUCAAAGUAAAGUGAAAAUGAAGAAAAGACUCAAAGCUACGGAGGGUAGACUGUGUCUGCUGUGGCUUGGCCAUGGGCCGAGGCCAUCCCCAGGAUCCUUGGGCACCGGGAGCCCCUUCUUUUCUCCCCAGGGCUGCUUCUGGAAGUUUUGCUUAGAGUCAAAAGAACAGAAGGAAUCUCCCAGGGCCCUAGGAGGAGCCAGUGGGUCCCUGUAGAUCAAUGCGGUAGGGAGGGCUGUGGGCUAGGCUGCUUGGCUGUCUGUUCCCUCGCCUUCUCACUCACUUAUCUGUUGGCUGACUGACCAGGGCUACCAGACAGCCUCCCAGCAAGGCCAAUGUUCUCAUUUACAAGGCAAGGUCUUUAGGUAGCCCUUUUUUUUCUUUUUUUUAAUUUGAGAUGGAGUCUUGCUGUGUUGCCCAGGCUGGAG
rnacentral:lncRNA from 1 species